UAUUUAGGUUUUGGAUCAAACAAGUCGAUCGAUUGUUGUCGUUGAUUCGGCGAAUUUAUGGUUUGGUAGAUUUUUUCUAGUUUGGCAACUUUGUUCGUGGUUCUUGUGUCAGACUGACAGCUGGCUGAGCUGAGAGACAGGUUAUGGAAAGUGGGGACGUCGCGAGAGCGCCGGAGACUCCACUGCCGUAACAAUAAUGUGGGCAAAUUAAAAGCCACGAUUUAUCGGCGACAUCAAGAGCCGAUGUCUCGAUUUAAACAAAUAACUUAACCGAGAUGCAACAUCACUGAAAUCCCAUCGCCGAAGGUCCAGUGGGUGGGUUUAGGUUUCAUCCGAGCGAUGCCCAACUAUCCCGGAUGAACCUAUGGGGUUUUUUUUUCUUUAAGUUUUAAUGUUUUAACGUUUUUGCAAGUUUAAUUUUCUAACGUUUUGCAAGUUUUAAUCUAAGAAGAAGUUUAUGAUUGGAUCAGACUAUUUCAACAAAUUUUGUGAAUGAAGAUUGCUACUGUUUUCUUCUGCGUUUGCAAGUUAUUUCAAGCUUCAUUUCGGCGGAGCUUGCCUUGGUUGUUUGCACGUCGAAGCUUCCCUUUGUGCGGCGCGCAUGUGGAUGUGCCGCGCCUCUCCUUUUGUCAACACACCGGAUAAGGCCCGGUGAAGGACUGCGAGGUUGACCGGUGGACGUGCAGCCCGCCAGCUGCGUAACAGUUGGCCCGCUGCGCCGCCAUCGUCCAGCACGCCUGGCCUGAGCCGGCCUCAACGCAUCACCUGUAUGGUAUUCCGGAACGCCUCAGGUAGGCCUGAUAGUCGGAGGUCCUCGAGUAAGUGAGGUGCCUACAGGUGUACGGACAGUGUUUUAAAUCUAGUGAUAUCCCAUGGUUGUUACGGAGUGACAAUUAACCUGACGGACCAAAGCGCGACCUG
rnacentral:lncRNA from 1 species